ACGAGUUUGAUCAUGGCUCAGAGCGAACGCUAGCGGCGAGCUUAACACAUGCAAGUCGAGCGGAGGGUUUCGGCCCUCAGCGGCGGACGGGUGAGUAACACGUAGGUUACGUGCCCUUUGGUGGGGAAUAACUUAGGGAAACCUGAGCUAAUACCGCAUAUGCCCUUCGGGGUGAAAGUCUUCGGACGCCAGAGGAUCGGCCUGCGGCCCAUUAUUUAAUCCUUGUUGGUGGGGUAACGGCCUACCAAGGGUACGAUGGGUAGCUGGUCUGAGAGGAUGAUCAGCCACACUGGGACUGAGACACGGCCCAGACUCCUACGGGAGGCAGCAGUGGGGAAUAUUGGACAAUGGGGGAAACCCUGAUCCAGCUACGCCGCGUGGGUGAUGAAGGCCUUCGGGUUGUAAAGCCCUGUCGAGGGGGACGAAGUUCUGACGGUACCCCUCAAGAAAGCACCGGCUAACUCCGUG
rnacentral:rRNA from 1 species